rnacentral:rRNA from 1 species
CACGUAGGGUGCGAGCGUUGUCCGGAAUUAUUGGGCGUAAAGAGCUCGUAGGCGGUGUGUCGCGUCGGCCGUGAAAACCUGCAGCUUAACUGUGGGCGUGCGGUCGAUACGGGCAUCACUGGAGUUCGGCAGGGGAGACUGGAAUCCUGGUGUAGCGGUGAAAUGCGCAGAUAGUCAGGAGGAACACCAAUGGCGAAGGCGCACUCGUGGGGACGUGACUGG